AUAACUUUCAACAACGGAUCUCUUGGCUCUCGCAUCGAUGAAGAACGCAGCGAAAUGCGAUAAGUAAUGUGAAUUGCAGAAUAGUGAAUCAUCGAACUUUUGAACGCACCUUGUGCCUUUUUGGCAUGCUACUUUGAGCGCCACCUACCCGUGGCCCCCGAAAAGGGGCCGAGUUGAGUGUUGCCGGCUGUCAAGGUCGGCUCGCUCUGAAUGCAUUGCGCGGCCAGUGAGCUAGACGUCGAUCGUGAUAACUCAUCGAGCGACGUUCGAUUCAUUUGGUCGCUUCUAAUCGUCCGCAAGGACAAUCCACGAAGCGCUAGGCAUCAAAGUAGUAGGACUACCCGCUGAACUUAAGCAUAUCAAUAAGCGGAGGAAAAGAAACUAACAAGGAUUCCCCUAGUAACUGCGAGUGAAGCGGGAAAAGCUCAAAUUUGAAAUCCUUCGGGAGUUGUAAUCUGUAGAAGUGUUUUCGGCCGCAGCCUCGGACAAGUCCCUUGGAACAGGGCGUCAUAGAGGGUGAGAAUCCCGUGCUUGCCGAGCUCCCUGCGUCUAUGUGAUACACUUUCAAAGAGUCGAGUUGUUUGGGAAUGCAGCUCAAAACGGGUGGUAAACUCCAUCUAAAGCUAAAUAUUGGCGAGAGACCGAUAGCGAACAAGUACCGUGAGGGAAAGAUGAAAAGCACUUUGGAAAGAGAGUUAAACAGUACGUGAAAUUGUUGAAAGGGAAGCGCUUGAAGUCAGUCGCGUUUGCAGAGACUCAGCCUCACGGCGCAUUUCUUUGUGAACGGGCCAACAUCAGUUUUGGCCGCGGGAAAAGGACCUGGGGAAUGUGGCAACCUCGGUUGUGUUAUAGCCUCUUGUCGUACACCGCGGCCGGGACUGAGGACUGCUGUUUUACAGGAUGUUGGCGUAAUGGCUUUAAGCGACCCGUCUUGAAACACGGACCAAGGAGUCUAACAUGUCUGCGAGUGUUCGGGUGUCAAACCCGUGCGCGUAAUGAAAGUGAAUGCAGGUGGGAGGCCUCGGCCGCACCAUCGACCGAUCCAGAUCUUUAGUGACGGAUUUGAGUAAGAGCAUAUAUGUUGGGACCCGAAAGAUGGUGAACUAUGCCUGAAUAGGGUGAAGCCAGAGGAAACUCUGGUGGAGGCUCGUAGCGAUUCUGACGUGCAAAUCGAUCGUCAAAUUUGGGUAUAGG
rnacentral:rRNA from 2 species